rnacentral:rRNA from 1 species
AUUGAACGCUGGCGGCAGGCUUAACACAUGCAAGUCGAGCGAGCGGCGGACGGGUGAGUAAUGUCUGGGAAACUGCCUGAUGGAGGGGGAUAACUACUGGAAACGGUAGCUAAUACCGCAUACCAUCAGAUGUGCCCAGAUGGGAGUGGCUAGUAGGUGGGGUAAUGGCUCACCUAGUCGACGAUCCCUAGCUGGUCUGAGAGGAUGACCAGCCACACGGGAACGGAGACACGGUCCAGACUCCGACGUGAGGCAGCAGUGGGGAAUAUUGCACAAUGGGCGCAAGCCUGAUGCAGCCAUGCCGCGUGGGUGAAGAAGGCCUUCGGGUUGUAAAGCACUUUCAGCGAGGAGGCGUUACUCGCAGAAGAAGCACCGGCUAACUCCGUGCCAGCAGCCGCGGUAAUAC